rnacentral:snRNA from 21 species
UCUCUUGUGCUCGGGCAAGUACUGUCGACAGUGAGGGCAACCGAGUCGCAGUCUUUUGCUAGUUGCAAAUUAAUUUCCGUACACUUCGGUUGGCUUAUGCCUUCCGGGACUUUUUGGAAACCUUCCUUCUUGCAUGCUCCAUGCUUUGUUGGUUUCGACGG